UGAUGAAAAACCUUUCAUGCUGUGUGACGUACUCCCUUAUGAGGGCAGGCACAAGCUGCUUGCGGCCUAGUGUCAUGCAAUUGAUUAUAGACGGCAUUCUGAA